GGCGGCAGGCCUAAUACAUGCAAGUCGAGCGCGCCCUUCGGGGUGAGCGGCGGACGGGUGAGUAACGCGUGGGAAUAUGCCCUUCUCUAAGGAAUAGCCUCUGGAAACGGAGAGUAAUACCUUAUACGCCCUUUGGGGGAAAGAUUUAUCGGAGAAGGAUUAGCCCGCGUUAGAUUAGGUAGUUGGUGGGGUAAUGGCCUACCAAGCCUACGAUCUAUAGCUGGUUUGAGAGGAUGAUCAGCCACACUGGGACUGAGACACGGCCCAGACUCCUACGGGAGGCAGCAGUAGGGAAUCUUAGACAAUGGGGGCAACCCUGAUCUAGCCAUGCCGCGUGUGAUGAAGGCCCUAGGGUCGUAAAGCACUUUCGCCAGAGAUGAUAAUGACAGUAUCUGGUAAAGAAACCCCGGCUAACUCCGUGCCAGCAGCCGCGGUAAUACGGAGGGGGUUAGCGUUGUUCGGAAUUACUGGGCGUAAAGCGCACGUAGGCGGAUUAGUAAGUUAGAGGUGAAAUCCCAGGGCUCAACCCUGGAACUGCCUUUAAUACUGCUAGUCUUGAGUUCGAGAGAGGUAAGUGGAAUUCCGAGUGUAGAGGUGAAAUUCGUAGAUAUUCGGAGGAACACCAGUGGCGAAGGCGGCUUACUGGCUCGAUACUGACGCUGAGGUGCGAAAGUGUGGGGAGCAAACAGGAUUAGAUACCCUGGUAGUCCACACCGU
rnacentral:rRNA from 1 species